GCCCUGAUGGUCUAGCGGUAUGAUUCUCCCUUAGGGUUGUCUUCUGCAGCUCAGACCUGGGAGAGGUCCCAGGUUCGAUCCCUGGUUAGGGCC
rnacentral:tRNA from 1 species